rnacentral:rRNA from 1 species
UACGUAAAGAACUAGCGUUGUCCGGAAUCAUUGGGCGUAAAGAGCGUGUAGGCGGUCCGGUAAGUCCGCUGUGAAAGUCGGAGGCUCAACCCUCGAAUGCCGAUGGAUACUGUCGGGCUAGAGUGCGGAAGAGGCGAGUGGAAUUCCUGGUGUAGCGAUGAAAUGCGCAGAUAUCAGGAGGAACACCUAUUGCGAAGGCAGCUCGCUGGGACGUAACUGACGCUGAGACGCGAAAGCGUGGGGAGCAAACAGG